rnacentral:lncRNA from 1 species
GAUGAUGCAACGGUGACCCAGGUAGACGACGUAGCGGAGGGGAUUUCCUGAUGACUUUGUGUGACUUAGUCCGAUGCUGGAGUGCAGAGGAGGAAACUGGAAGAGUUCGGGUGUUGUGAGACGACGAAGCGAGCGACGGGGGUGCAACGAUGAUGGUGAAGAGCCGGUGGAGUAACAAUGGUUGAAGGGGAUGAUGAUGUGUUGAGUUGGAAGACAGCUGGGAUACAUCGCAGUGCUGUGGCGUUUUGGGGCUAAAAGAGGGUUCGAGUUGAUUUUCAUCCGCCAUGUGUUUUUUCGUUUGGUGUGAUUGUGAGUGUUGGGUCUUGUUGCAUGAUUCUUCCUGUGUUGGCUGUGAUUGCGCAUCCCAUUCGUAUCGCUUUCAUUCUGUGUAGUCAUUGAGGAUGAGAAGAUAGGGAUAGGAGUAGACUUUAAGCAGUGUCAUGUUAGCGUAAUUACAGUGAUUGCGGAUGUGUUGUUGUUGUUGUUGUACUUCGCUAGAAUUCUUAUUUGGUAGCCUGAACUAGUUCCUUCAUUUCUGAAUUUUUUUAUGGAUUAUUUCCAUUAGCCUAUAAGGGAGUCAAAGAUGUGUGGUUAGGAGCGUCCUAGGUUUUUUGGCCUUCGCGCAAAUUUGCCGUUGUAAAUUGACUUUGAAGAUACCUGAAGCUCAGAUCUUAUUUGGAGUUUAUAUAAUUCCCUUUUCGUUGGUGCUUAUGCGUUGUUACCAAGACGCUAGUACGCAUUUGUCAAAUUGAAUAAAAAUGUUGAGAAUCAAUAUCACCGUACUGGUUUAGGUUUUACAGAUUCUGUAAUUUCUCUGGUUCGCGUUCCUAGUCGUGCAUCCCACUUGUUAAAGCUGACUUGCCUUCAGCUCAUCACCUUCGAGCUUCACCCUUUUGGUACCAUUCCAAGCAUUUGAUUUAAUCCCAUCCCUGAAACAAGAUGCAGAAUCGCCAUCAGCGAUCGGCCCUAUAACAUAUGGAUUUAGGUUUCAUAAACAUCAGUGAUGUACAUAGCUGAAGAUGCGAGAUCAUGCUGUAGAUAUUCGCUUAAAUUGUGAGAGAAUUAUGGGGAAGUUUUCAGUUGUAGCUUUUUCUUAAGGAGUUGAGGCUGGACUUCUGUAUGAUCAGAGACGAUGUUCUAGGAGGAUGCCCUGACCAUGGCUUGUAGUACUUGAUUGUAUUGCCCUGAAUCAAACAGUUUCAGCUAUUGUAGAUAUAUUAGGCACAUAGUGCUGUGCUGGGUUGCGUAUGUGGUUUCAAUCAACCGUGCGCACGUAUAAAAAAUGACUACCAAGAUGAUGUACAGAUAUACGAAGAACACUCUGUUGGCUUUUGCCAAGUUGCCUUGCUGCCAGUCACGUCCGGAUGGAAUAGACCCUGUUCUAUGGAG